CAUGAAGCUGGUUCUGGAAAAGUAACGACCUCGGUCAAGAGGCUAGAAAAGGGGAGGAUUAACUUCAAAACCAGAGCUGCACGGUGGUACAGGGAGUUCUGUGAAAGAUGAAACCGAAUAUCUGAGUUGAUCUAAUUUGCAGGAAAUCCCGAAUGGAGUCCAAACAAAUGGACUCAGAAAUAUUUGCUGUUUAACGGAAGAGUGAUCCAUCAAUGACGGGAGCUUCUCUGCAGGAUUGGAGCAAUUUACACAGCCCCACCUCGAAACAGAGGAACAACAGCAGUAGAGGCAUCAGUUGCCUUCCAACCACAUGCCACUCCAUUGGACAGAGGAGAUACACACAGAGUUCUUCUGUAAGAGAGGCAAUACAGGCUGGGAUCAGCUUCUUGGACUUCACAGAACAACAGUUCCUGAGUAUCUAACCUUCACUGCAGAUCUUCAUUUUAAAUCUACAACCCCCUUGAGGAAGACUUCCUUCAUAACAGACCAGAUAUUUACAUACACGUUGGAGUUGAGACUACAGCCAGGUCAGGAGG